AUUGAACGCUGGCGGCAUGCCUUACACAUGCAAGUCGAACGGCAGCACGGGAGCAAUCCUGGUGGCGAGUGGCGAACGGGUGAGUAAUAUAUCGGAACGUGCCCAGUCGUGGGGAUAACGUAGCGAAAGCUACGCUAAUACCGCAUACGAUCUACGGAUGAAAGCGGGGGAUCGCAAGACCUCGCGCGAUUGGAGCGGCCGAUAUCAGAUUAGGUAGUUGGUGAGGUAAAGGCUCACCAAGCCGACGAUCUGUAGCUGGUCUGAGAGGACGACCAGCCACACUGGGACUGAGACACGGCCCAGACUCCUACGGGAGCAGCAGUGGGGAAUUUUGGACAAUGGGCGCAAGCCUGAUCCAGCAAUGCCGCGUGCAGGAUGAAGGCCU
rnacentral:rRNA from 1 species